rnacentral:tRNA from 1 species
UGGAGGUGUGGCUGAGUGGUUUAAAGCCUUGGUUUGCUAAAUCAAUGUAUGUUUUUAACGUACCGUGGGUUCAAAUCCUACCGCUUCCAU